CCCGAGCAAGCCGGGGUGUCAGCACUG
rnacentral:piRNA from 1 species